CGACUGGCGGCGUGCCUAACACAUGCAAGUCGAACGGAGCAUAGACGCUGUGAGAAGAAUCAGCUUGCUGAGGAAGCGAACUUGUUAUGCUUAGUGGCGGACGGGUGAGUAACGCGUGGAUAACCUGGCUCACACAGGGGGAUAGCAGUUGGAAACGACUGAUAAUACCGCAUAAGCGCACGGCAUCGCAUGAUGCAGUGUGAAAAAGAUUUAUUGGUGUGAGAUGGAUCCGCGUCUGAUUAGCCAGUUGGCGGGGUAACGGCCCACCAAAGCGACGAUCAGUAGCCGGCCUGAGAGGGCGGACGGCCACAUUGGGACUGAGACACGGCCCAGACUCCUACGGGAGGCAGCAGUGGGGGAUAUUGCACAAUGGAGGGAACUCUGAUGCAGCGACGCCGCGUGGGUGAAGAAGUAUUUCGGUAUGUAAAGCCCUAUCAGCAGGGAAGAUAAUGACGGUACCUGACUAAGAAGCCCCGGCUAACUACGUGCCAGCCGCCGC
rnacentral:rRNA from 1 species